rnacentral:rRNA from 1 species
CCGUAAAACAGCGUAAUUGCUAGAAGGUUGACCUCGGAUCAGGUAGGAAUACCCGCUGAACUUAAGCAUAUCAAUAAGCGGAGGAAGAGAAACCAACAGGGAUUGCCUCAGUAACGGCGAGUGAAGCGGCAACAGCUCAAAUUUGAAAUCUGGCCUCGGGCCCGAGUUGUAAUUUGUAGAGGAUGCUUUGGGCGCCGGUGCCUUCCGAGUUCCCUGGAAUGGGACGCCAUAGAGGGUGAGAGCCCCGUACGGUGGGAUGCCUAGCCUAUAUAAAGCUCCUUCGACGAGUCGAGUAGUUUGGGAAUGCUGCUCAAAAUGGGAGGUAAAUUUCUUCUAAAGCUAAAUACCGGCCAGAGACCGAUAGCGCACAAGUAGAGUGAUCGAAAGAUGAAAAGCACUUUGAAAAGAGGGUCAAAAGUACGUGAAAUUGUUGAAAGGGAAGCGCUUACGACCAGACUUGCGCCUUGUGAAUCAGCCGGCGUUUUCGCCGGUGCACUUCGCUAGGUUCAGGCCAGCAUCGGUUUUCUCAGGGCGUUAAAAGCAGCGGGAACGUAGCUCCUCCGGGGGUGUUAUAGCCCGCUGUAGAAUAUUCUUGGGGAGACCGAGGACCGCGCUUCGGCAAGGAUGCUGGCGUAAUGGUCAUCAGCGACCCGUCUG